UACAGAGGUCUCAAGCGUUGUUCGGAUUCAUUGGGCGUAAAGGGUGCGUAGGUGGCGGGGCAAGUUUGGUGUGAAAUCCCGGGGCUCAACCUCGGAACUGCACUGAAUACUGCCUUGCUAGAGCACUGGAGAGGGAACUGGAAUUUACGGUGUAGCAGUGAAAUGCGUAGAUAUCGUAAGGAAGACCAGUGGCGAAGGCGGCGAUCUGGGUCGAUACUGACGCUGAGGUGCGAAAGCGUGGGGAGCAAACAGG
rnacentral:rRNA from 1 species